rnacentral:rRNA from 1 species
GGCCAAGUUUUUAAGGGCGCACGGUGGAUGCCUUGGCACCAGGAACCGAUGAAGGACGUGGGAGGCCACGAUAGGCCCCGGGGAGUCGUCAACCAGGCUUUGAUCCGGGGGUGUCCGAAUGGGGAAACCCGGCAGUCGUCAUGGGCUGUCACCCGCUGCUGAACUCAUAGGCAGUGUGGAGGGAACGCGGGGAAGUGAAACAUCUCAGUACCCGCAGGAAGAGAAAACAACCGUGAUUCCGGGAGUAGUGGCGAGCGAAACCGGAUGAGGCCAAACCGUAUACGUGUGAGACCCGGCAGGGGUUGCGUGUGCGGGGUUGUGGGAUCUCUCUUCUGUUGUCUGCCGGCAACAGGACGAGUCAGAAACCGUUGAUGUAGGCGAAGGACAUGCGAAAGGUCCGGCGUAGAGGGUAAGACCCCCGUAGUCGAAACAUUAGCGGCUCGUUUGAGAGACACCCAAGUAGCACGGGGCCCGAGAAAUCCCGUGUGAAUCUGGCGGGACCACCCGCUAAGCCUAAAUAUUCCCUGGUGACCGAUAGCGGAUAGUACCGUGAGGGAAUGGUGAAAAGUACCGCGGGAGCGGAGUGAAAUAGUACCUGAAACCGUGUGCCUACAAGCCGUGGGAGCGUCGCGCAAGGACUUGUCCUUGCGUCGUGACUGCGUGCCUUUUGAAGAAUGAGCCUGCGAGUUUGCGGUGUGUUGCGAGGUUAACCCGGGUGGGGAAGCCGUAGCGAAAGCGAGUCCGAACAGGGCGCUGUAGUAGCACGCUCAAGACCCGAAGCGGAGUGAUCUAGCCAUGGGCAGGUUGAAGCGGAGGUAAGACUUCGUGGAGGACCGAACCCACCAGGGUUGAAAACCUGGGGGAUGACCUGUGGUUAGGGGUGAAAGGCCAAUCAAACUCCGUGAUAGCUGGUUCUCCCCGAAAUGCAUUUAGGUGCAGCGUCGUGUGUUUCUUGCCGGAGGUAGAGCACUGGAUAGGCGAUGGGCCCUACCGGGUUACUGACCUUAGCCAAACUCCGAAUGCCGGUAAGUGAGAGCGCGGCAGUGAGACUGUGGGGGAUAAGCUCCAUGGUCGAGAGGGAAACAGCCCAGAGCAUCGACUAAGGCCCCUAAGCGUACGCUAAGUGGGAAAGGAUGUGGAGUCGCACAGACAACCAGGAGGUUGGCUUAGAAGCAGCCACCCUUGAAAGAGUGCGUAAUAGCUCACUGGUCUAGUGAUUCCGCGCCGACAAUGUAGCGGGGCUCAAGCGUACCGCCGAAGUCGUG